rnacentral:rRNA from 1 species
CCUACGGGUGGCUGCAGUGGGGGAUAUUGCACAAUGGGGGGAACCCUGAUGCAGCGACGCCGCGUGGGUGAAGGAGCGUUUCGGCGCGUAAAGCCCUAUCGGUAGGGAAGAAGGAGGACGGUACCUUACUAAGAAGCCUCGGCUAACUACGUGCCAGCAGCCGCGGUCAUACGUAGGGGGCAAGCGUUAGCCGGAUUUACGGGGUGUAAAGGGGGCGCAGAGGGCAGCGCAAGCCAGGAGUGAAAGCCCGGGGCCCAAACCCGGAACUGCUGUUGAAACUGGGAGGCUGGAGUGCAGGAGGGGGAGGCGGAAUUCGUGGUGUAGCGGUGAAAUGCGUAGAUAUCAGGAGGAACGCCGGUGGCGAAGGCAGCCUGCUGGACUGCGACUGACGUUGAGGCCCGAAAGCGUGGGGAGCAAACAGGAUUAGAUACCCCGGUAGUC